UACGUAGGGAGCAAGCGUUGUCCGGAUUUAUUGGGCGUAAAGAGCUCGUAGGCGGUUCAGUAAGUCAGGUGUGAAAGCUCUGGGCUCAACUCAGAGAAGCCACCUGAUACUGCUGUGACUAGAAUCCAGUAGGGGAGUGUGGAACUCCUGGUGUAGCGGUGAAAUGCGCAGAUAUCAGGAAGAACACCAGCGGCGAAGGCGGCACUCUGGGCUGGUAUUGACGCUGAGGAGCGAAAGUGUGGGUAGCAAA
rnacentral:rRNA from 1 species